AACAAGGUCUCCGUUGGUGAACCAGCGGAGGGAUCAUUAUCGAGUUAUUCAACUCCCAAACCCUAUGUGAACUUACCACUUGUUGCUUCGGCGCGCGCUUCGGCGCCGCCGAGAACACUUAAACUCUUUGUUUUUAUAAGCAUUUCUGAGUGGCCGAAAGGCAAAAAUACAAAUGAAUCAAAACUUUCAGCAACGGAUCUCUUGGUUCUGGCAUCGAUGAAGAACGCAGCGAAAUGCGAUAAGUAAUGUGAAUUGCAGAAUUCAGUGAAUCAUCGAAUCUUUGAACGCACAUUGCGCCCGCCAGCAUUCUGGCGGGCAUGCCUGUUCGAGCGUCAUUUCAACCCUCGAGCCCGACUCUUUUGAGGACGGCUCGGCGUUGGGGGACGGCAGACUCCCCCCGGCAUCUCGCCGGGGACGCCGCCCCCGAAAUCUAGUGGCGGCCCUCCGAGGCGACCUCUGCGUAGUAACUUGUUCUCGCACCGGAAAGCUCAGAGCGGCCACGCCGUAAAACCCCAACUUUUUUCAGGUUGACCUCGAAUCAGGUAGGACUACCCGCUGAACUUAAGCAUAUCAAUA
rnacentral:rRNA from 1 species